rnacentral:rRNA from 1 species
UACAGAGGUCCCAAGCGUUGUUCGGAUUCACUGGGCGUAAAGGGUGCGCAGGCGGCCAAGUGUGUCAGGUGUGAAAUCCCGAGGCUCAACCUCGGAACUGCGCCUGAAACUACUUGGCUAGAGUACUGGAGAGGGUAACGGAAUUCACGGUGUAGCAGUGAAAUGCGUAGAUAUCGUGAGGAACACCAGAGGCGAAGGCGGUUACCUGGACAGUUACUGACGCUCAGGCACGAAAGCGUGGGGAGCAAAAGGG